AUGAACUUCAAAUUGCUGCCACUUUAUAACAACUUCUAGAAUUUCUUUAUUGAUGGCUUCUUCAAGUAAGGUACAACUUCCAUUUUGAAGAUCAACAGCCACUUUGUCUUCUGCUAUGCGGGAUGCAGUGGUCGACAAAUCAUUGGUUUUGUAAACAGAAUGGGAUUCAACACUUCACAUUUCUUCAAAUCUAACUUAUCCCUUCCUUCUGGUUGGGUGGUACAUAUUAUUACUACUGGGUUGUUUUUGUAAAUAUUAUUACUACCUGGUGUUUU
rnacentral:misc_RNA from 1 species